AUUGAACGCUGGCGGCAGGCCUAACACAUGCAAGUCGAACGGUAACAGGAAGAAGCUUGCUUCUUUGCUGACGAGUGGCGGACGGGUGAGUAAUGUCUGUGAAACUGCCUGAUGGAGGGGGAUAACUACUGGAAACGGUAGCUAAUACCGCAUAACGUCGCAAAACCAAAGAGGGGGACCUUCGGGCCUCUUGCCAUCUGAUGUGCCCAGAUGGGAUUAGCUAGUAGGUGGGGUAACGGCUCACCUAGGCGACGAUCCCUAGCUGGUCUGAGAGGAUGACCAGCCACACUGGAACUGAGACACGGUCCAGACUCCUACGGGAGGCAGCAGUGGGGAAUAUUGCACAAUGGGCGCAAGCCUGAUGCAGCCAUGCCGCGUGUAUGAAGAAGGCCUUCGGGUUGUAAAGUACUUUCAGCGGGGAGGAAGGGAGUAAAGUUAAUACCUUUGCUCAUUGACGUUACCCGCAGAAGAAGCACCGGCUAACUCCGUG
rnacentral:rRNA from 1 species